rnacentral:miRNA from 1 species
UCCGGAAUGGAGUGGAGAGGUGAGC